CGUGACAUUUUGAUGCACCACCACACUUACCAAGAGACAGGUAGCAGGUGACUUCGUCAAACAACUGCAACUUCGGGCACGACAGACUCUUCUCAGUAGUCUCAUCAUGAAUGUGGACAGAGUGAACUGGUUCGCGGUGAUUGUCCUCGCUCUCGGUGUUCACGCAGUGUCUGGCCAGAACUGCGCGCACCUGUUGGAUGUCGUAGCCGUUGUAGAUGGCUCUGACAGCAUCUUAGAUGACGAAUUUAUCCUUCUGAAGGAUUCCCUUAUUCAGUUGACAAACUGGCUGAACCUUGGAGAGGAAG